rnacentral:tRNA from 1 species
UCCCCGGUGGCUCAGUGGUAAAGAAUCUGCCUGCAAUGCAGGAGAUGCAGGUUCGAUCCCUGGGUUGGGAA